UCCUUGGUGGCUUAGAUGGUAAAGAAUCUGCCUACAAUGCAGGAGACCCAGGUUUGAUCCCUGGGUCAGGAA
rnacentral:tRNA from 1 species